CGACCGCGACCCCAGGUCAKGCGGGAUUACCCGCUGAGUU
rnacentral:rRNA from 2 species